AUUGAACGCUGGCGGCAGGCCUAACACAUGCAAGUCGAACGAGUGGCGGACGGGUGAGUAAUGUCUGGGAAACUGCCUGAUGGAGGGGGAUAACUACUGGAAACGGUAGCUAAUACCGCAUACCAUCGGAUGUGCCCAGAUGGGAUUAGCUAGUAGGUGGGGUAAAGGCUCACCUAGGCGACGAUCCCUAGCUGGUCUGAGAGGAUGACCACCCACACUGGAACUGAGAACGGGUCCAGACUCCUAGGGGGGGCAGCAGGGGGGAAUAUUGCACAAUGGGCGCAAGCCUGAUGCAGCCAGGCCGGGUGUAUGAAGAAGGCUUUGGGGUUGUAAAGUACUUUCAGCGGGGAGGCGUUACCCGAAGAAGAAGCACCGGCUAACUCCGUGCCAGCAGCCGCGGUAAUA
rnacentral:rRNA from 1 species